rnacentral:rRNA from 1 species
AUACGGAGGAUGCGAGCGUUAUCCGGAUUUAUUGGGUUUAAAGGGAGCGUAGGCGGGAGCUUAAGUCAGCGGUUAAAUGGUGCGGCUCAACCGUGCCCUGCCGUUGAAACUGGGUUUCUUGCGAGCGCAAGCGGCGGAUGGAAUUCAUGGUGGAGCGGUGAAAUGCUUAGAUAUCAUGAAGAACUCCGAUUGCGAAGGGCGUCCGCUGGGGCACGUCUGACGCUGAUGCUCGAAGGUGCGGGAAUCAAACAGGAUUAGAUACCCUGGUAGUCCGCACGGUAAACGAUGAUUACCCGCUGUCGGCGGUAGACAGUCGGCGGCCAAGCGAAAGCGUUAAGUAAUCCACCUGGGGAGUACGCCGGCAACGGUGAAACUCAAAUGAAUUGGCGGGG